UGGCUGGUGUUCUAACGUAGACCCGUGAUCCGGGUUGCGGACAGUGUCUGGUGGGUAGUUUGACUGGGGCGGUCUCCUCCCAAAGAGUAACGGAGGAGCACGAAGGUUAGCUAAUCCUGGUCGGACAUCAGGAGGUUAGUGCAAUGGCAUAAGCUAGCUUGACUGCGAGAGUGACGGCUCGAGCAGGUGCGAAAGCAGGUCAUAGUGAUCCGGUGGUUCUGAAUGGAAGGGCCAUCGCUCAACGGAUAAAAGGUACUCCGGGGAUAACAGGCUGAUACCGCCCAAGAGUUCAUAUCGACGGCGGUGUUUGGCACCUCGAUGUCGGCUCAUCACAUCCUGGGGCUGAAGUAGGUCCCAAGGGUAUGGCUGUUCGCCAUUUAAAGUGGUACGCGAGCUGGGUUUAGAACGUCGUGAGACAGUUCGGUCCCUAUCUGCCGUGGGCGCUGGAGAAUUGAGGGGGGCUGCUCCUAGUACGAGAGGACCGGAGUGGACGCAUCACUGGUGUUCGGGUUGUCAUGCCAAUGGCACUGCCCGGUAGCUAAAUGCGGAAGAGAUAAGUGCUGAAAGCAUCUAAGCACGAAACUUGCCCCGAGAUGAGUUCUCCCUGAGACUU
rnacentral:rRNA from 1 species